rnacentral:SRP_RNA from 2 species
GCUGGGCAUGGUGGCGCGUGCCUGUAGUCCCAGCUACUCGGGAGGCUGAGGCAGGCGAAUCGCUUGAACCAGGGAGUCGGAGGUUGCAGUGAGCCGAGAUCGCACCACUGCACUCCAGCCUGGUGACAAAGCGAGACUCUGUCUCAA